rnacentral:lncRNA from 12 species
UGUCUCAGAGGAAUUAAUCAAAAGUUUUACAGAAAGUUGUGCAGCCUCUGAAAGGUCAUUCACCGAGUUAAAUAUGUUUUGGGCACCCCCUUGGACGCUAAGCACUGUGAGAAGUGGAGGGUGAAACGGAACGCACAGCUCCUUCCUUCCCUCAAGGAUCUCUAGCGUGUGAAUGGAAAGGGUUGGCUGUAAAACUUGAGAGCUUGGAAAUGCAGUAUCCUGUGGCUGCUGAAUCACGGACCAUUCCUCUGUGAAACCCUAACACAGAUACUUACCCCUCAGAAUUAUUUUGAAGACUGAAUGGUAUAGCAUGUGCAAAGUUCAUACCACUGGCCUGGAAUAGAAAGGUAAUUAUAGAAGAUGUAGCUGUGAGGAUGGGGAGGUGGAGGUA